AGUGAACGCUGGCGGUAGGCCUAACACAUGCAAGUCGAACGGCAGCACAGUAAGAGCUUGCUCUUACGGGUGGCGAGUGGCGGACGGGUGAGGAAUACAUCGGAAUCUACUUUUUCGUGGGGGAUAACGUAGGGAAACUUACGCUAAUACCGCAUACGACCUACGGGUGAAAGCAGGGGAUCUUCGGACCUUGCGCGAUUGAAUGAGCCGAUGUCGGAUUAGCUAGUUGGCGGGGUAAAGGCCCACCAAGGCGACGAUCCGUAGCUGGUCUGAGAGGAUGAUCAGCCACACUGGAACUGAGACAAGGUCCAGACUCCUACGGGAGGCAGCAGUGGGGAAUAUUGGACAAUGGGCGCAAGCCUGAUCCAGCCAUACCGCGUGGGUGAAGAAGGCCUUCGGGUUGUAAAGCCUUUUUGUUGGGAAAGAAAAGCAGCAGGUUAAUACCCCGCUGUUCUGAAGGUACCAAAAGAAUAAGCACCGGCUAACUUCGUG
rnacentral:rRNA from 1 species